rnacentral:lncRNA from 1 species
CCUGCACAGUUCAUACAUUCGGCUCCUCCAGCCGAACCGAUUCUAUAGUACUGGUUUUCGAAUCUGGCUGGCUCGAUCCCUCGUUAGCUGAAUCGCUUGUUCUAUCGAAGGGCGCAAACUUCGAGGGUCACUAUCCGCAGCCGUUCCUCACCCCGACGCGCUUCCCGAGGAGGAUCUUUGAUCGGGUCAAGGGUCGGAAAAUUCGGCUACCAACACAAUCUUAUUACUUCUUCUACUCGGUCAUCUCUCAUCUGCCUUGCAGGGUUCACAAAACAAACAACUGAACAAACCCCUUCAUGACAUUCUCUGUCAAAGAAGGCUACAAAAUUCCUCAGAUUGCUACUCAAUCUAUAAAAUGCACCUAAUGCUUAAGGCUGAUUAAAAGAUCAACAGUUCUUAAUAUAGUCCAACUACUUAAUCGUGUUUCCAUUUGAAAUCACGAUAUUUGACGCAUAGUCGAACAACUCAUCCAAUUUCACAACAAGUGGGGUUGCUUAACCAAAAUGAAGCACUAGGCAUAAAAGCCUCCCUAUUAGUCAAGCCCACAAUUUGUGACUUGAUUAGAAAUACAACAACAACUUCUCAAAAUUACCCUUCAUUUUGAGGAUUCUCACAUUCUAAAUUAUCAACCAAUUAGGCUCCAAACUUCCUAUAAAUACCUAUUUUAGGUAAAAUGACAAUUCUCGCAAUUAGCGAGAUUAAACUUCAAGAUGCAUUACAUUAUGCUCAAACUCCCAAGGCGAAUCAGUUCAGUUCGCACAACCCAUGGUACCAAGUACUUCAAAAGCUAAAUUUUAACCAAAACCACUCUACCAUAGGUAAGGCCAACCAAUUUGUUGGUAUAUACCAAACCCUCUCAUUAUGCAGGGUGCCAAAUAGACCACCCUGCUAAAUCAAUCAUCCUACAUGCAUCAAGAAAAGAAUUGAUGCUACUCAACUCGGCAAAUAGCCGACUAGGGAUGCAACUAAAACAAUCAUCAUAAGCAUAAUCAAAUUAUAGAAACAUUACAUAACAUACUACCUGCAGUAAUCAUCCUCGCCGCCACGUCUGGUUCUAACAAUUCUGCCGGCGUACAUCUCCUGGGUGGUUAUUGCAACAAAGUCAACGCAGAUACUACAGUUAACAUGUUAUUCCUUGGGCACUCAGAUUGGAAAUGGCCCUUCUGACCACAUACAAAACACUUCCCUCUCCGUUGAGGGCACUUUGGGGGAACAUGCGGGCCUCUACAAAUCACACAUUGCCGUGACAAUCGACGCCUCAACCUUCUUUGCUUAGAAAAAGUAUCAUGUCCCUGAGGUUGAUCCUUCUUUAUUUUCUUUUAUGCUUCCCCAACCUGUAACUGAUCACCUUUGAUGGUCUCCUUUGUUCUCUCAAUACAUUCCACGCCUUUUCUUACAGUUAAGGUGCGAUCGGAAACUUCAUGGAAUUUCUUGAGAUCUGAGGUCUGUUGGAUCAACAAGUUCUCCAACCGUCUGAUUUCCUCAUCUUGUUGGCGUAAAGCUUCUGUUUGAAGUAGUGCCACAUUCGAUUGUCGCUCCACCACUCCAACUAAAGUAGUCAACUGCUCUUUUAAUUUCCGAACCUUGCCAGAUUCAGAAGGUGCAAGCUUUUCUGACUCGGUCGCCUCAGUCGCCGUAGAGUGCAUCUUUGACAUUAUAAGCUGUAACAAACAAAAUAGGCACAGGUUAAAACAACCAGUGCUAUCGUAGCCCCACUCAUAAUUA